AUGAACGCUGGCUACAGGCUUAACACAUGCAAGUCGCGGGGAAACGACGGGGAAGCUUGCUUCCCCGGGCGUCGACCGGCGCACGGGUGAGUAACGCGUAUCCAACCUGCCUCUGACUGAGGGAUAACCCGUCGAAAGUCGGCCUAAUACCUCAUGGUAUCGUCUGCGGGCAUCCAACGACGAUUAAAGAUUUCAUCGGUCAGGGAUGGGGAUGCGUCUGAUUAGCUUGUUGGCGGGGUAACGGCCCACCAAGGCUACGAUCAGUAGGGGUUCUGAGAGGAAGGUCCCCCACAUUGGAACUGAGACACGGUCCAAACUCCUACGGGAGGCAGCAGUGAGGAAUAUUGGUCAAUGGGCGAGAGCCUGAACCAGCCAAGUAGCGUGCAGGAAGACGGCCCUAUGGGUUGUAAACUGCUUUUAUGCGGGGAUAAAGUGAGGGACGUGUCCCUCAUUGCAGGUACCGCAUGAAUAAGGACCGGCUAAUUCCGUG
rnacentral:rRNA from 1 species